rnacentral:rRNA from 1 species
UACAGAGGUCUCAAGCGUUGUUCGGAAUCACUGGGCGUGAAGCGUGCGUAGGCUGUUUCGUAAGUCGUGUGUGAAAGGCGCGGGCUCAACCCGCGGACGGCACAUGAUACUGCGAGACUAGAGUAAUGGAGGGGGAACCGGAAUUCUCGGUGUAGCAGUGAAAUGCGUAGAUAUCGAGAGGAACACUCGUGGCGAAGGCGGGUUCCUGGACAUUAACUGACGCUGAGGCACGAAGGCCAGGGGAGCGAAAGGG